ensembl:snRNA U6 U6 spliceosomal RNA
GUUCUUGCUUCGGUAGCACAUAUGCUAAAAUUAGAAUGAUAAAGAGAAGAUUAGCAUGCCCCUGCACAAGGAUGACACACAAAUUCAUGAAGUAUUCCAUAUUUUU